UUAGCCUCUGAUCUAUCCCUGUGUCUCAAGCUCAAACAGCGAAGAGAGAUUGACGGACAUCCAAAAGAAAAAGAGACAAAAGGUGAGGAACUGGUAAGUGAAAGUUGUGAGGACAGAUAGUGUCAGUGAGAUAAGUGUGUUCGAGAUAAAGGAGAAUAUAUAGUUGGACACUGACAGAGAGGUGGAGAAAUUAAAAAGGGGGAGGAGCCAAAGAUUGAACCAAGAGCAUGUGUGGGGAAUAUAAAAGCAAAUACAUGCUGGUUUGAUGUUAUAGAGUUUAAAAAACACAGUUGCUGUUGUUGUAUAGAGGUGAAUAAUAAUGAACUCUCUUGAACUGACAAAAUAAAAAAUGUUUUCAUGGUUCAUCUGCUGAAUCCCUUUUCUAACUUAAGGUUGGAAUUGUGGGAUAUGGACAUUUAGGUGAUUUCUCCAAAGAAAACCUAUGUUUCAACAGCUACAACUUUCUCUGCUUUGAUUAAAUUUGCACUUUAUUAAAACCUAAAAUCCUGACUGCCAUAGUAUUUGCAUUUAUUUCAUAAUGAUUAUCAGUUGCGUGGGAUAAGUAACUGUCCCGGAUCAUGUUUUCACCAUCCUCAGGUGGGCAACCCUUCUGUCCUCUCUGACCCCUGGCGUGAGCAAGAUCUCCGCACUGUUGCAAAACGGUAUGAGAAAACACUUUAUGUGCCCAGUGGUGCAUUAUGGGGUGGCCAAGAUUUAAAAAAAAAUGAUUUGACAGUUGAAAUUUGCUGGCUCUCUCCAUCCAAAUGUCUAAACAUCCCUCUUGCUUUCGGCUUGCUGGUGUUCUGCUCUCUGAUUGGACGGAGACCAGUCUCUGAUUGGAGACAGGACCGGAGAAAUCAUCUCAGAUACUAUGAUCAGACUACCAUAUUGUGGACACUAAGGUCCAGACGGGUUCACAGUGAAAAUGAUGCAGCAAAACCCUGCCAGACUGGGAGCUGUAACAGGAAAUGCCACAUACAAUUCCUUCUGGAGCAGCUUACUUGUCUGGGUCAUGGAGGGAGGAGGGUACAGCUGUGUAUUGAUAACAGUGGACUGCUGCAGAAAGUUAACCGAAGAAACACACACAAUG